UACGUAGGGGGCAAGCGUUGUCCGGAUUUAUUGGGCGUAAAGCGCUCGCAGGUGGUUCGUCGCGUCGUGCGUGAAAGACCCCGGCUCAACUGGGGAGGGUCGUGCGAUACGGGCGAACUGGAGGCCAGUAGGGGGAUGCGGAAUUCCGGGUGUAGUGGUGGAAUGCGUAGAGAUCCGGAGGAACACCAGCGGCGAAGGCGGCAUCCUGGACCUGGUCCUGACACUCAGGAGCGAAAGCGUGGGGAGCGAACGAGG
rnacentral:rRNA from 1 species